rnacentral:tRNA from 1 species
AAGACCUGCAAAAUUCUAAUUUACAUCUAUUGACUGCAACCCAACUGCUUUCAUUAAGCUAAGGCCUU